rnacentral:rRNA from 1 species
UACGUAGGGUGCGAGCGUUGUCCGGAAUUACUGGGCGUAAAGAGCUCGUAGGUGGUUUGUCGCGUCGUCUGUGAAAUUCCGGGGCUUAACUCCGGGCGUGCAGGCGAUACGGGCAUAACUUGAGUGCUGUAGGGGAGACUGGAAUUCCUGGUGUAGCGGUGAAAUGCGCAGAUAUCAGGAGGAACACCGAUGGCGAAGGCAGGUCUCUGGGCAGUAACUGACGCUGAGGAGCGAAAGCAUGGGUAGCGAA